rnacentral:rRNA from 1 species
AUUGAACGCUGGCGGCAUGCCUUACACAUGCAAGUCGAACGGCAGCACGGGUGCUUGCACCUGGUGGCGAGUGGCGAACGGGUGAGUAAUACAUCGGAACGUACCUUAUCGUGGGGGAUAACGCAGCGAAAGAUGUGCUAAUACCGCAUACGCCCUGAGGGGGAAAGCGGGGGAUCGAAAGACCUCGCGCGAUUAGAGAGGCCGAUGCCUGAUGAGCUUGUUGGUGGGGUAAAAGCCCACCAAGGCGACGAUCAGUAGCUGGUCUGAGAGGCCGAUCAGCCACACUGGGACUGAGACACGGCCCAGACUCCUACGGGAGGCAGCAGUGGGGAAUUUUGGACAAUGGGGGCAACCCUGAUCCAGCAAUGCCGCGUGAGUGAAGAAGGCCUUCGGGUUGUAAAGCUCUUUUGUCAGGGAAGAAACACCGGCUCUAACACAGUCCGGGAAUGACGGUACCUGAAGAAUAAGCACCGGCUAACUACGUGCCAGCAGCCGCCGUAA